rnacentral:misc_RNA from 1 species
AGCAGUCUUCGAAUCUGGAACCAUGCCAAUACGUCCAGCUUGAAUAAUCAGCAUAACAGUCAGUAACAGGUAAAUAGUGACAGCCACAACGCAUUCUACCAUCCAAUCUCCACAUAGAAACAAAAAUAUACUGUACAUAUGUCCGCCCCAUGCACUGAUGCUCAUGCCAACUGCAAUGGUGUCCAUGACCGUCGGAAACAACCUUUUCAGGCUUAAGAUUACGUAAUGUGAUUAACCGACAAUCAUUCCAAAACAGCAACCUCAUGAUCCACUCUCCAAUAAUUUGCAUCAUUGAACUCCUUGAUCCCAGCCCCAUUCUCAUCGGAAUUUUCCUUUUCUGGCACCUUAGGGACAACGCUCCUCUUCAGUGGACCUGCUUCCCCAACAAUCCCCUCCUUGAGGGCCUGCUCCAUAGCCUUUUCAGUGCCUUCUAAUUCCACACCAACGAACUCAACAUCUUCUUCAAACAAUGAGGGUACAGCUGUAGUUUUCUGACUUUGAUCACUGCCAUCUGAUCCAUCGCUCGACCCUGUUGUAGUUGGAGAGCCAUUUGGAAGAAAGGCUUCUCCUCUUGUUGGAGAAUUGACAUUAGGUGUUGCUAAUUCAACUUGAGAGGAAUCGUUGGUAUCAGAUUUAUCAUUGUCCUCAAACGGGUUCAUACUCGAACCCCCAACUUGCAAAUCUGAUGCUUCUCCCCAUCCUACCCAGUCAG